UACCAGCACCCCGAGUGGUCGGGACGAUUAUUGGGCCUAAAGCAUCCGUAGCCGGCCUUACAAGUCCUCCGUUAAAUCCAGCUGCUUAACAGAUGGGCUGCGGAGGAUACUAUAAGACUAGGAGGCAGGAGAGGCAAGCGGUACUCAGUGGGUAGGGGUAAAAUCCGUUGAUCCAUUGAAGACCACCAGUGGCGAAGGCGGCUU
rnacentral:rRNA from 1 species